rnacentral:rRNA from 1 species
CUAGCAAGUUUAAUUUAACAAAAAUAUUUAUGUUAAAAUCCCCGAAACCAAACGAGCUACCUUUGAGCAACACACUAUAAAUUUCUCUCUGUGGCAAAAGAGAGUGAGAGACUCCCAGGUAGAGGCGAAAAACCAAACGAGUCUGGAGAUAGCUGGUUGCUUGGGAAUGAAUUAAGUUCAACUAAAAGUGAAUAUACCAACAAGGACACAUAUAUACUUUUAAUAUAAUAAAUUAGGGUACAGCCUAUUUUAUAAAGGAAACAGCCUACACACAUGAAUAAAGAUUAUAAUUUAUCCUAUAAUAAAGUAGGCCUAAAAGCAGCCACCAAAAAAGCGUCACAGCUUAAUUAUAUACUUAAAACAUUUAAAUAUAUUAUCUAAACUCAACUUAAUAACCAAGUUAAUCUAUUUAUAGAUAAACUACUACUAGAAUGAGUAAUAAGGAAUACCUCAAAAUACACAUGUAAAUCUAAACUAACCCCACUGAUAAUUAACGUAAACAUUCAUUUUUACAAGAAAACCAAAUUAUUUAUUUCGUUAACCCAACACAGGUGUAUAAAAGAAAGACUCAAGGCUUAAGAAGGAACUCGGCAAACUAA